CCUACGGGAGGCAGCAGUGGGGGAUAUUGCACAAUGGGGGGAACCCUGAUGCAGCGACGCCGCGUGGGUGAAGGAGUGCUUCGGCAUGUAAAGCCCUAUCGGCAGGGAAGAAGCAAGACGGUACCUGACUAAGAAGCCCCGGCUAACUACGUGCCAGCAGCCGCGGUAAUACGUAGGGGGCGAGCGGUAUCCGGAUUCACUGGGUGUAAAGGGAGCGUAGACGGCCAAGCAAGCCAGGGGUGAAAGCCCGGGGCCCAACCCCGGGACUGCCCUUGGAACGGCAUGGCCGGCGUGCGGGGGGGGGAGGCGGGAAUCCUGGUGUUGCGGUGAAAAGCGU
rnacentral:rRNA from 1 species